UGAGCGAUGACUUCCGACAUCCGUUUAAAUUCAUAAAUGCGAAAACGUGAAAAUCCUGUUAAUCCCGAAAGCGUAAUUUUAGCUGCAUUUCGAUUUUGUUUAGAAUGUAGCUAGUUUGUUUGACAUUUUUGUAACAACACAUUAUAUCUUGGUAGGAUUCAGUAUUUGCCUUGGCCCAUCCGCAUAUUAUGUUUUUUUGCACUAUAAUCAUAAAUUGUUUCGAAACUUUGUGCUAUAACAUUGCGUCCCGCACGCCUCUAUCAACCAACAAGUAAAUAUGGCAAUGCUAUGUCGUGAGCUUCACAUAUUUCCCCCAAUUCAGGCUUUAACAUAAACUAUGCCUCUGCCUUGGUUAAUGUCAUUCUGCAGCAAGUUCACCAGAGCACGGAUUCCACAAGAAGUAGGGUGGACGGUGCUGUGGACUUUCAUCAAGGGCAGGCCCUACAUCUAAGUGCAAUGAAUGCAAUCAACUCAAAACUGUUUAUUACCUGUUACUUACACUUUGAUCAUAGGCUAAAAUAAAUAAACCCCUGGGACUAAACCCCCUGAAUCCUGAAUAAACCCCCUGAAUCCAUGGUCUUUCAGUUGCUGGAUGAGCGGACGCAAGAGCAUGAGAAGUAUGGUGGUAAUCUGGAGCAGCCCAGUAAAAAGCACCAUGUGCUGACCUUACUGGGAGAAGAAGCUAGUGGAGGGACGCUAUGCAUAGUGUUACCAUUUUCUCCUCCAAGACGUGUAUUUAAUUAAUUUAUCUGUGCUUGAGGUCAUGCAGUAAAGUUGUAAUGAUGAGUAUGAUUGCUAACUUGGUUUUUACUGUGGUGAAGUAUUGAAGUAAAACUAUUUUAAAGUA